ACAGGCAGGUCACAGGGGAAAGUGAUCGAACCGCCAUUUUCCCAACUGCGCAUGCUCCAAAUCCAAAGAUGGCUGUCGACAGUGAACGUGGCGACUCAGCAUCACAGGUACAACAUCAUCAUAUCUGGUGCAGUAGAUGGGUACUCGAGAAAGAUUUUCUAUCUGGAACCAGCAACAAAUAACCGCUCAAACACUGCUCAUUCAUUUUUUUCUGAAGGCAGUGGAAAAAUAUGGCUGGCCUUCCAGGGGUGAUGAGGGCGUUGAAAAUGUCUCAAUUGCUGAAACCAUGUUCACUGUUAAAGGCACUGGAAGAGGGAGCUUCAUAGCUGGGCGGAGUCUGAAUAAUUCCUGCUUCUGAUCUAGAAUCGAGCGCCCGUGGCGAGAUGUCUGGACCAGCGUGACACACCUUUACUGUGAAGUUCUUCACAGUCUUGAGGAAGAUGGCCUGUUGGAUCUGGCAGAUGCUGUUCAUGUGUUUUGUGCCCACUGUUUUCCCUCCGUGUCUGGCAGAUGCCCGGGACAACCAUCCCAUACGGACUGAAGGUGGACUCUCUCCAAACCAGCUCUGGGUUUUGGGUCACAUGAAGAACCCUUGUGACCCAAACGACGAUUUGCAGAACAUGGAGCUGUUUGGAACUGACUGGGAGAUGUUAUGGAGACCAUAUGGAGUUCGAGUCCAGGAAAUUGAGUGCCCCCUGAAUCCGUACAUUCUGGAAACUGUACAGUCCAUGAUACAGCCAUUGGCAUCAUCAGAGUCAUUUGGCAGGGACAUUUACAUAACAAUGCUUCAGUGUAUUGAAAGUCUAAGUGCAACACAGGAAAUGCCUGAGAUGGAACAAGACCUUAACAUGAGGCAGGAGUCCCAAACAUUUUUAUUGAAAAACAUUGAACUUUCCCUUGAAAUUUCCAUUACAUUCAUCAGAAUUAAAUUUGUGAAAACCAAAAAUUACUGUGGGUACCCUGAAGAGUAUUUAGCAAAAACUAACUUUGGAGUAAACCAUUAUUAACAGAAAAAC